rnacentral:tRNA from 3 species
GGAGGGGUGGCAGAGCGGUUGAAUGCACCAGUCUUGAAAACUGGCAUAGGGCAACCUAUCGUGGGUUCGAAUCCCACCCCCUCCGCCA